AGAAUUUGAUCCUGGUUCAGAUUGAAUGCUGACGGCGUGGAUUAGGCAUGCAAGUCGAACGAAGUGAUGAUUCGUCAUCACUUAGUGGCGAAAGGGUUAGUAAUACAUAGGUAAUCUGCCUUUAACCUUGGAAUAACAGUUGGAAACGACUGCUAAUACCGAAUGUGACAAUUUUGUGCACGCAUAAGAUUGUUAAAGUGGGGGAUUUUGAGAAAAACCUUGCGGUUAGAGAGGGGCUUAUGGGAUAUCAGCUUGUUGGUGUGGUAACGGCACACCAAGGCUAAGACGUCUAGGCGGAUCGAGAGGUUGACCGCCAACACUGGGACUGAGACACUGCCCAGACUCCUACGGGAGGCUGCAGUCGAGAAUCAUUCGCAAUGGGCGAAAGCCUGACGAUGCGACGCCGUGUGAGCGAAGAAGGCCUUCGGGUUGUAAAGUUCUUUCGUUUGGGAACAAGAGAGAAAGAUGAAUAAUCUUUCGAUUUGAGCGUACCAGAUAAAGAAGCACCGGCUAACUCCGUGCCAGCAGCUGCGGUAAUACGGAGGGUGCAAGCAUUAAUCGGAUUUAUUGGGCGUAAAGGGCGUGUAGGCGGGAAGACAAGUCAUAUGUGAAAUUACGAGGCUCAACCUCGUAGCCGCAUACGAAACUGUUUUUCUUGAGGGUAAGCGGAGAAAAUGGAAUUCCACAUGUAGCGGUGAAAUGCGUAGAUAUGUGGAGGAACACCGGUGGCGAAGGCGGUUUUCUAGCUUACUCCUGACGCUGAGGCGCGAAAGCAAGGGGAGCAAACAGGAUUAGAUACCCUGGUAGUCCUUGCCGUAAACGAUGUAUACUUGGUGUAGUCGGUCUCAAUCCUGGCUGUGCCACAGCUAACGCAAUAAGUAUACCGCCUGGGGAGUACGUCCGCAAGGAUGAAACCCAAAAGAAUUGACGGGGACCCGCACAAGCGUGGAUCAUGUGGUUUAAUUCGAUACAACGCGAAGAACCUUACCCAGGUUUGACAUGUAUUGGAUAGCAUUGGAAACAAUGUCUCCGAAAGGUCGAUACACAGGUGCUGCAUGGCUGUCGUCAGCUCGUGCCGUGAGGUGUUGGGUUAAGUCCCGCAACGAGCGCAACCCUUAUCGUUUGUUGCCAGCAUUAAGUUGGGAACUCUGACGAGACUGCCUUGGUUAACGAGGAGGAAGGUGAGGAUGACGUCAAGUCAGCAUGGCCCUUAUAUCUGGGGCGACACACGUGUUACAAUGGCCGGUACAGAAGGCAGCAAUACCGCGAGGUGGAGCAAAUCCUUAAAACCGGUCCCAGUUCGGAUCGCAGUCUGCAACUCGACUGCGUGAAGUUGGAAUUGCUAGUAAUGGCGCGUCAGCCAUAGCGCCGUGAAUACGUUCCCGGGUCUUGUACACACCGCCCGUCAAAUCAUGGAAGUUGGUUUUGCCCGAAGUCACUGACUCAACCGCAAGGAGAGAGGUGCCAAAGGCAAGGCUGAUGACUGGGAUUAAGUCGCAACAAGGUA
rnacentral:rRNA from 1 species